rnacentral:rRNA from 1 species
CCUACGGGAGGCAGCAGUGAGGAAUCUUGGUCAAUGGUCGGGAGACUGAACCAGCCAAGCCGCGUGAGGGAUGAAGGUACAGAGUAUCGUAAACCUCUUUUGUCAGGGAACAAAGGCGGGGACGUGUCCCCGGAUGAGUGUACCUGAAGAAAAAGCAUCUGCUAACUCCGUGCCAGCAGCCGCGGUAAUACGGAGGAUGCGAGGGUUAUCGGGAUUUAUUGGGUUUAAAGGGUUCGCAGGCGGUCUGUUAAGUCAGCGGUCAAAGCCCGGGGCUCAACCCCGGCCCGCCGUUGAAACUGGCAGUCGCGAGUUGGAGAGAAGUAUGCGGAAUGCGCGGUGUAGCGGUGAAAUGCAUAGAUAUCGCGCAGAA